rnacentral:tRNA from 1 species
UUAAGGGUCAUGAAGGGAUAAAAUCAGAUUCGUAAUCAGUAGGUCGAGAGUUCAAUUCUCUUUCCUGGCUCCA